GCCCAGGUAGCUCAGUUGGUAGAGCAGUGGACUGAAAAUCCGCGUGUCGGUGGUUCGAAUCCGCCCCUGGGCACCA
rnacentral:tRNA from 7 species